UUAGUGGCGGACGGGUGAGUAACGCGUGGAUAACCUGCCGUAUACAGGGGGAUAACACUUAGAAAUAGGUGCUAAUACCGCAUAAGCGCACGGUUCCGCAUGGAACAGUGUGAAAAACUCCGGUGGUAUACGAUGGAUCCGCGUCUGAUUAGCAGUUGGCGGGGUAACGGCCCACCAAAGCGACGAUCAGUAGCCGGCCUGAGAGGGUGAACGGCCACAUUGGGACUGAGACACGGCCCAAACUCCUACGGAAGGCAGCAG
rnacentral:rRNA from 1 species